CUUCCAGUAGCACCUUAGAGACCAACUAAGUUUGUUAUUGGUAUGAGCUUUUGUGUGCAUGCACACAAAAAACUUAGUUGGUCUCUAAGGUGCUACUGGAAG